ensembl:processed_transcript
CAGAGUACAGAUUAUGGAGGUAUCUGAAGUUGAACUAACUGGAAGCAGGGAACCAUACUAAUAAAGUUCCUUAAGCAGGUUCCUUGUAAAGAUUAACCCAGGGAAGGAUCGAAAGUGGAGAAGACCAGAUCAAGAAAGACUAUAUCAAGAUCUGCGGUCAGUUCAAAGGAUGUUUUGCAUUGGACUGUUUUUUUUUGGCUUUGACCCUUGCUUGCCCCUGACCUCACUCUUGGACUGCCCUGUUGGAUUUUCAGUUUAUUUAAUUAAAAAUUUUUUUUUGGUUCUGGGUAGAUGCUAAUAAAUAUUUAAUUGUAAUUAUUUAA